GACGAACGCUGGCGGCGUGCUUAACACAUGCAAGUCGAACGGAAAGGCCCUGCUUGCAGGGUGCUCGAUUGGCGAACGGGUGAGUAACACGUGGGUGAUCUGCCCCUUACUUUGGGAUAAGCCUGGGAAACUGGGUCUAAUACUGGAUAGGACCAUGCUGUAGGUGGUGUGGUGGAAAGAUUAGUUUCGGUAAGGGAUGAGCUCGCGGCCUAUCAGCUUGUUGGUGGGGUAAUGGCCUACCAAGGCGUCGACGGGUAGCCGGCCUGAGAGGGUGGACGGCCACAUUGGGACUGAGAUACGGCCCAGACUCCUACGGGAGGCAGCAGUGGGGAAUAUUGCACAAUGGGCGCAAGCCUGAUGCAGCGACGCCGCGUGGGGGAUGACGGCCUUCGGGUUGUAAACUCCUUUCAGCCAUGACGAAGCCCUUGUGGUGACGGUAGUGGUAGAAGAAGCACCGGCUAACUACGUG
rnacentral:rRNA from 1 species